rnacentral:lncRNA from 1 species
GCCUGCCCUCUGGCCUUCUCAGGGAGUGCAGUACUGAUUAAAGAGAAGGCCAGCAGGUUCUCUUCUUAUUUAUCCCUAUGGUCAACAGAUCAGACAAUCAGGAUACUGGGACUGAGCAGUGUCUUCACUUGGACCCCCUGGAAGUUUGGGAAAUGUUGCUGUAUCAAUGUGCAGCUGGAGAAGCCAAAGCCUCUGAAGCAGAGCAGGCGCACUCAGAACUGGACAAGCUGGAGCAAGAGCUUCAAGCUGAGAUGGUUGAAGUUGCUCUGGAAUCACUGCAAGAGGAUCUGCAGCUCUGA